rnacentral:rRNA from 1 species
GUCCACGCCCUAAACGAUGUCAACUAGGUGUUGGAUGGGUAAACCAUUUAGUACCGGAGCUAACGCGUGAAGUUGACCGCCUGGGGAGUACGGCCGCAAGGUUAAACUCAAAGGAAUUGACGGGGACCCGCACAAGCGGUGGAUGAUGUGGAUUAAUUCGAUGCAACGCGAAAAACCUUACCUACCAUUGACAUGUCCAGGAGCCUGAAGAGAUUUGGGUGUGCCCGAAAGGGAACUGGAACACAGGUGCUGCAUGGCUGUCGU